rnacentral:rRNA from 1 species
UACAGAGGUCUCAAGCGUUGUUCGGAUUCAUUGGGCGUAAAGGGUGCGUAGGCGGCGCGGUAAGUCGGGUGUGAAAUCUCGGGGCUUAACUCCGAAACUGCAUUCGAUACUGCCGUGCUUGAGGACUGGAGAGGAGACUGGAAUUUACGGUGUAGCGGUGAAAUGCGUAGAUAUCGUAAGGAAGACCAGUGGCGAAGGCGGGUCUCUGGGCCUUACCUGACGCUGAGGAGCGAAAGCGUGGGGAGCGAACAGG